CGCAAAUGUUAUAGCUUCUGAAAGUGAAAUCAAUUUAGAAGGAGAAGAUACGGUCAUAAAAUAUAUAAUGAAAUGUGUUAACAUAUGCUGGACAAUGUGUCAACACGAACCACCCGUACACGUUGACUUCCCUGAUCUACAAGUCAAUCACAAAUUUGAUACUAAUGUUUACAAACCGUACACAAAGUCAGGAAAGUAUCUGCAUUUCAUUGUAUGGCCUGCAUUGUACCUUUACAAGGAUGGUCCAAUGCUUUGCAAAGGGGUUGCACAAGGAAACAACUGACAUGAAUAUUCACUGUCAACCAAUUGAUAAAAAUAUCUGCGUCAUAUCAAGAACGUUAGAUACAGCUUUUAACAUGAUUAUAUAAAACUUCUACUAGGUGACCAACCUCUUUUUUAUUUUUUAAACAAUGAAUUAGAUAGAUAAAUAAAGACAAUACAUCACCAAAGGCAAUGCACUGUACACAAUUAAUGAAAGAUUUCAAAAUGUCAUCGUUAAAACGUUACAAAGAAAGACAGUUAUACGCUAAUCGGAAAUUUCCAAAGUUAUGAGUUUUAC